CGUAGGUGGCAAGCGUUGUCCGGAAUUAUUGGGCGUAAAGCGCGCGCAGGCGGAAAUUUAAGUCUAUCUUAAAAGUGCGGGGCUCAACCCCGUGAUGGGAUAGAAACUGGAUUUCUUGAGUGUCGGAGAGGACAGUGGAAUUCCCAGUGUAGCGGUGAAAUGCGUAGAUAUUGGGAGGAACACCAGUGGCGAAGGCGACUGUCUGGACGAUGUCUGACGCUGAGGCGCGAAAGCCAGGGUAGUGAACGGGAUUAGAUACCCCGGUAAUCCUGGCCGUAAACGAUGGGUACUAGGUGUUGGGGGUAUCGACCCCUCCAGUGCCGGAGUUAACGCAAUAAGUACCCCGCCUGGGGAGUACGGCCGCAAGGUUG
rnacentral:rRNA from 1 species